rnacentral:rRNA from 1 species
UACGAAGGGUGCAAGCGUUGUCCGGAAUUAUUGGGCGUAAAGCGCGCGUAGGCGGUUCGGUAAGUCGGAUGUGAAAACUCAGGGCUCAACCCGGAGACGCCAUCCGAUACUGCUGUGACUUGAGUCUGGUAGGGGAACACGGAAUACCUGGUGUAGCGGUGAAAUGCGCAGAUAUCAGAUGGAACACCGAUGGCGAAGGCAGUGUUCUGGGCCAGUACUGACGCUGAGGAGCGAAAGCGUGGGGAGCAAACAGG